rnacentral:lncRNA from 1 species
AGCUUUGCCCUGGCAUGACAAAGUGCCGGAAUCCUUUAUCUCAUUACAAUUUACAGAUCACCUCCCGAUGAUUCAUCUGAAAGAAAGAUCAGGACAACACAGCCUCUGGGAAAUGGAGACCUACUUUGCAGACCUGUGAGGGUGAUGAAAACAGCGGGAUUGCCUCUCGCUCUACAGGUUCAUGGAAAUCCGGGUUAUGCUGCCACUGCUGUGGAUUCUCAACCUUUGAGACAUGAAGGAAAGCGGAAAAACUCUUCCGAUGCCAGGGUCUGCAAAAGGCUGCUGCGUGCCUUCUCCGGGGUACAAAGGAAUAAGACCAUCUCACCUCCCUCUUCAGACAACUGCCUGCCUGGAUGUGUUUUAAGACCCAGUAAAAAAACUGUAGGAUCACAGGAAUUAGAGAGAGAAAAUACCUACUAGGCCUAAUACCAAUGCAGGACUGUUUCCUACAAAAUAUUGUAGUGUUCCACAAUGACCUUCCUUUUAAAAUAGAUCUUGUCUCUUUCUACUCCAAAACACUGCUUAUCUGACAUUCACAUUUCUCUGUGCCGCCCCCUCCUCUGAUCACGGUUGGUGCCAGUCUUCUAUGCAGUUCCUAUCAUCUGGAAUAGCCUUCCCAUAUCUCUACAUCCUCAAAUCCUGUUGUAACCCUUUUGACCCCAGUGGCUAGCCCAAGUUCGAGGCUCUGUGGGUUGUUUCCACUAGGAGGAGUACUUGAUAGUCAGGAACUUUCUUUGAUGCAAUCUUGUUUAUUUACAAAGAUUUGUACAUUGUUAUUUAUUUAUUAUUUGUAUUACCAUGGGGAGUAGUCAUGGGCCAAAGUCCUGUUUCCCUGAGCAUAGUAGGAACCAAAGAGCAGGUGAUGGUUCUUUUUCUUGCUGUUUCAAACCUGCUUUUCCAGCCAGCACUCUGUGCCCAAAAAGCUUUCUCUUAGGGUCACGUUAUCACCACUUCUGUUAUCGUCUGCUUGGCCUUCUGGCCCCUUCUCUCUCUUCCAUCCUCUCGUCGCUCGCA